GAUGAACGCUAGCUACAGGCUUAACACAUGCAAGUCGUGGGGUAACGAGAGGAAAGCUUGCUUUCCUUGUCGACGACCGGCGCACAGGUGAGUAACGCGUAUCCAACCUGCCCCCAACUAGGGAAUAACCUUGCGAAAGUAAGACUAAUACCCUAUAAUUUCCUCAGAUGUCAUCUGACGAGGAAUAAAGAUUUAUCGUUUUUGGAUGGGGAUGCGUCUGAUUAGCUUGUUGGCGGGGUAAUGGCCCACCAAGGCAACGAUCAGUAGGGGUUCUGAGAGGAAGGUCCCCCACAUUGGAACUGAGACACGGUCCAAACUCCUACGGGAGGCAGCAGUGAGGAAUAUUGGUCAAUGGGCGGAAGCCUGAACCAGCCAAGUAGCGUGCAGGAUGACGGCCCUAUGGGUUGUAAACUGCUUUUAUACAGGAAUAAAGUUAGCCACGUGUGGUUAUUUGUAGGUACUGUAUGAAUAAGGACCGGCUAAUUCCGUGCCAGCCGCCGCCGUAA
rnacentral:rRNA from 1 species